AGCGAACGCUGGCGGCAGGCCUAACACAUGCAAGUCGAACGAACUCUUCGGAGUUAGUGGCGGACGGGUGAGUAACACGUGGGAACGUGCCUUUUGGUUCGGAAUAACUCAGGGGAACUUGUGCUAAUACCGAAUGUGCCCUUCGGGGGAAAGAUUUAUCGCCAUUAGAGCGGCCCGCGUCUGAUUAGCUAGUUGGUGAGGUAACGGCUCACCAAGGCGACGAUCAGUAGCUGGUAUGAGAGGAUGACCAGCCACACUGGGACUGAGACACGGCCCAGACUCCUACGGGAGGCAGCAGUGGGGAAUCGUGCGCAAUGGGCGAAAGCCUGACGCAGCCAUGCCGCGUGAAUGAUGAAGGUCUUAGGAUUGUAAAAUUCUUUCACCGGGGACGAUAAUGACGGUACCCGGAGAAGAAGCCCCGGCUAACUUCGUG
rnacentral:rRNA from 1 species